rnacentral:piRNA from 1 species
GGCAGUGAGUGGCACAUAUCUG